AAAAAGACAAACCCUAAAUUUUCGUGUCCAAUGUUUGAUUAUUCGUCUUAUAUGAAAUUUUUUUUAUAAUUAGUAUUUUCAUUGUUAUUAAAUGAUAAAACAUGAUUAAUAUUUUAUGCGUGAAUUGUCUUUUUAAUUUUUUUUUAAUUUUUUAAAUAAGGCGGACGGUUAAAUGUUGGACAUGUAAAUUGAGGGUUUGUCUUUUU
rfam:Oryza barthii chromosome 6, whole genome shotgun sequence.